UGGGGAAUAUUGCACAAUGAGCGCAAGCCUGAUGCAGCCAUGCCGCGUGUAUGAAGAAGGCCUUCGGGUUGUAAAGUACUUUCAGUCGGGAGGAAGGUGGUAAGGUUAAUAACCUUAUCAAUUGACGUUACCGACAGAAGAAGCACCGGCUAACUCCGUGCCAGCAGCCGCGGUAAUACGGAGGGUGCAAGCGUUAAUCGGAAUUACUGGGCGUAAAGCGCACGCAGGCGGUUGAUUGAGUCAGAUGUGAAAUCCCCGGGCUUAACCCGGGAAUUGCAUCUGAUACUGGUCAGCUAGAGUCUUGUAGAGGGGGGUAGAAUUCCAUGUGUAGCGGUGAAAUGCGUAGAGAUGUGGAGGAAUACCGGUGGCGAAGGCGGCCCCCUGGACAAAGACUGACGCUCAGGUGCGAAAGCGUGGGGAGCAAACAGG
rnacentral:rRNA from 1 species